rnacentral:lncRNA from 1 species
UUGCAUAUGUUUAUUGAUGUUGCAUGUAUUUUGAAAUGGGCCUAUGGGCCAUACUAUUAUCUGAAUAAGGGGCUAAGGCCCAGUUUAAUGUAAUCUGAAAAGGGCACUGGCCCAGUAUCACUGUUAUUUGAAUGGGCUUAGGCCCGAUGGGCUUGAGCUGACCUGGGCUUUGAAUGGGUUUUCCUUACACACUGAGUUUUCAAACUCACCCCUUUUUUAACCUUGCAAGUGGGCCUUGAUGUGAGUGUCUUGGAGCCGGAGGUGAUUCUGAGUGACCAUGGUGAACGCUUUUGGGUUUGAAAAAGA